GAUGAACGCUGGCGGCGUGCCUAAUACAUGCAAGUCGAGCGAACACACGAGGUGUUUUCGCCUCCGAGGGUAGCGGCGGUCGGGUGAGUAACAUGUGUUCAACCUACCUCUACGACAGGGAUACCUUCGGGAGACAGGAGCUACUACCGGAUAAUAUAUCGAACUGGAUUGGUCAAGAGUGGAAGUAGGUUUUGCGGACACUAAUAGAUGACUACGCGCAGCAUUACCUAGUUGGUAGGGUAACGGCUUACCAAGGCAACGACGCGUAGCCGACCUGAGAGGGUGAACGCCCACACGGGAACUGAGACACGGUCCAGACUCUGAGGCGAGGAAGCAGCACGGAAUCUUACGCAAUGGGCGAAUGCCUGACGGAGCAACGCCGCGUGAGUGAUGAGGCGCUUCGGAUGCUAAAACGCUGUUAUUAGUAGAGAACAAAUGUUUAAGUAACUAUGCACGUCUUGACGGUACCUGAUCAGAAAGCCCCGGCUAACUACGUG
rnacentral:rRNA from 1 species